rnacentral:rRNA from 1 species
GAUGAACGCUGGCGGCGUGCCUAAUACAUGCAAGUCGAGCGAACGGACGAGAAGCUUGCUUCUCUGAUGUUAGCGGCGGACGGGUGAGUAACACGUGGAUAACCUACCUAUAAGACUGGGAUAACUUCGGGAAACCGGAUCUAAUACCGGAUGAUAUUUUGAACCGCAUGGUUCAAAAGUGAAAGACGGUCUUGCUGUCACUUUUAGAUGGAUCCGCGCUGCAUUAGCUAGUUGGUAAGGUAACGGCUUACCAAGGCAACGAUGCAUAGCCGACCUGAGAGGGUGAUCGGCCACACUGGAACUGAGACACGGUCCAGACUCCUACGGGAGGCAGCAGUAGGGAAUCUUCCGCAAUGGGCGAAAGCCUGACGGAGCAACGCCGCGUGAGUGAUGAAGGUCUUCGGAUCGUAAAACUCUGUUAUUAGGGAAGAACAUAUGUGUAAGUAACUGUGCACAUCUUGACGGUACCUAAUCAGAAAGCCACGGCUAACUACGUG